ensembl:lncRNA
AACAUUUGGAAAUCUGACAUUUUUCUGAUCGCAUUUCAAUUUAUAAAACCACAUAAAUAUAUUUAUAUUGCACCUAGAGCCUGUGCUUAGCUGUUUGUUUCUCUUUUUCCUGUCCACAGACAUCUGUCCUUCCCCUCUCUCCUUAUCUAAGAUAAGCAGCUUCAGUUUACACAUAUGGUACCUUGCAAAAGCAUGGUCUGGAAAAUUAGUUCUUGAAAGGAUUAAUAUUUUUCCCCUUCCAUCACAAAUAUGUUUCUUCUCCUGGUGACAACAUGUUUCACUUCACAAACAGAACGGGCACUGCCUGCUCUGGCAUACGGGAGCAUUUCUCUUCCGUGCAAAGCAAGCUGCACACAGCCCAGCACAGGAAUAACAGUAACAUGGUUUGUCAUAUUGAUGUGGCUGAAAGUAAACAAAACAAUUCCUCUUAAAAAAAAAAAAAAAGGCUUCUGCAGGCAUUGUCGUGCUUUCAGGGAGAGCUAUUUCCAUUCUGCAGUCAUUGCAAUACCAGCCUGGCCAUUUGAAAGUGAAGGAAAUUUCUACCACUCAUUUUGACUUGCUUUUAAAUGCUUUUCCUUUAUGUUGUGCGCAGCAUUGAAAUUACAUGCAAAGGCUUGUCCUUCAAAUACCUUAUACAAACCAGGGGGAAGAAACCUCUCCUUGCCUGCCUUUCAAUUCUUGGUGCAGUGCAAUGGAAACCCUUCCAAGGAGGGUUUCUGUCCUGAAGGGAUUUGUUCUGCUAUCCCACACCAGCAUCCUACUAUGUGCAAGAAUCAGCAAUUUUCCUCUUGAGGACUCGGAUAAAUCCCCUCUCCCCCCCACUCUAGUUUUUUCAAAGGUUUCUUUCCUACCACCACCCUCCUGUGUUGCACACAUGCUCCUCUGCUUUUUGGUUGCCCAGACCAGGGCCACAGACAAAAUCCAUCCAGGCAUUUGGAUCACUCUCAAGACCAACCAAUGUUAUAUUAUGUGAUUGCAGGUAAAAAAAAGAGCAAACCUCCCCAUCCCUUGUUUUAAGAAAGAUGUGGUCUUCUGGCCUCCACAACACUAAACCUGACUGCAUUAUUUUUAUAGCUACCAACUUGGCCAUCAAACUUUUCACCCCCAGGACCAUGUUUACUCAUUCUCAGUGCAUCCAAACACAGUGAGUGGUCCAUACCACAAAGCAAUAUAGGGUAAACAUUAAUAACAGAAGGAAAAACGUGCAAAGAGAACAGGAGAAACAGCAAAAACUGAAGCCAGACACGAUUCUGCCACAAGGGGAAAUAAAAACCUUUUACAAUGGGGAGAAUAAAAGGUGAGAAAACUAAGGGAGGACAGAGGCAAGGUAAAAGAGUAAGAUGAACUAAAGCUAAGGGAAAGAAACACAUGACAACAGCAAAUAGAAAUAAGAAUUGUUAAUCUUGAAUACAACACAAACUUUGACAGUCUGUGAUAUGUGCAACCACAAAUUUAUUAUACAAACCUAUUUUCACAGGGUGAUGCUGAACUGGCUGCUCCACUGAUACCGUAUUCUACUCUUGAGGCUCAGUUGUUCAGGGUCUAGGACUAUGUAAGUCAUAAACAGCAAGUAGGCAAAAUGGGUACGCUGUAAAUCCAGAUAUAAAAGACAGGAACUGACUUUGCUUAUGUUGACGAGUGUAUUACUUAAAGAAAAGUUAUAUAACUUUAUCAUUGCUCAAAUAAACAAGCAAAUAGCAAAGCUGGUUGUUACAGUUUGCUAAGGCAGGAUCCUCGUCUUUAUUUAUAAAUUCCAAAAAGGAAAUAGAAAUCUUUAGAUUUCAUUUCUCCAUUGCUUUAGGGGGCUUUUAAAACAAAAAUAGAACAUGUAACUUGAACUGUCCCACUUUCAAAGUUGGAGCUAUGUGGUACAUCUCCCCAUACUGACUACUCUUCCAAGUAAAAAUUUGCAAUCUCUCUCAGUAAUUGAAGCAAAGAGAAAAAGAUUCAAGCUUUGAUAAUGAUUGGCAAAUUUCAAGUAGUUUGGAUAAGUAACCCCCCAAAGUUCAAAAUGAAUAUUCAGAUUUUGUUGUGCAGCAUGGUCUGCAAAUUGAGGAUAGAAAUCUCAGAUGAUAACUAUCUUAGAUCUCCUCUAAGAUCCUCCAUAUGCCCUAGUUACAUCUAAGUAGGAAAUAACCCCAAACCAGCAACAUAUUUAUUUAUAAAAUGCAGAGAUGUCUGAAUUUUCAAAAUGAAAAUAUUGAGGAAAAAGAUUCACUAAGAAAUCACAAACUUCCAAACAGUCUAGCUUAAUACUGGGCCCAUUCCCACGCCACCUAGAUCUCUUAAGUAGUUUAUCAU